AUCCUGUUCGUGACGCCAAAUGUAACGGGUGCGUUAGGGCCCGCUUAGUAGGGGAAAUUAAUGUUACCUCGGAAGACUUUAGGAGGAAAGGAUCUUGGUCCCCCACCUCAGUGCUUUGAGUCUCAAGGUAUAGGUUAUGUAUACGUGUUACCUUACUCUGUUGUAUAAUAUACUAAAGGGACCAGAGAGUGUGGCUUCAGUUAAGUCUACAAAUACUUGUAUUAAUUUGGUGGCCGCCUGAAGUGUAAAUAUGUGAGGCAAUUUAACAAUACCAAUUCACAUUCCCACCACCCCAGUACCUAACAGAGCAAGUGAGACGCCCCUACUCCAAGGUAAGUUCAACAAUGAUAGUACUCUUGAGAUUUACUUUAACAUUCAAUCAGAUUUAAUUAUCUCCUUUUAAAAUGUUUUUUUCUUUUGCAGAGCAGGAAAAGAAGAUCAGAACAAUACAUGAAAAAUGUAAAAAAAACAAAUAAAACAAUGUUGCUCAAAUAAAUUUGUCACUAUAAUCUUUACCCGUGGUGCACCACCAACUGUUUAACCAUAAAACUUGUGUUCACCUCUGGAAUAACAAUCAGUUCACAAAUGAUUCACUUCAAAUAAACUCUGAAAUAACUUGACUUAAUUCAAAUGAACUCUGAAAUGACUCUUGCGAUUCGACAGAUGAUUCAAUUUUCACAUCAAACCCAGUUCAGUUACCUAUUCGCAGUUCAGUCUAUAUCAGUAAGAGUUCAUGUAUGUAUAUGUGCAAUGAACGUUGUACCAGUCUUUAGCGAUGAUGAAAUUGAAGAAAUUACUUGCAAUGACUUGAGAUGACCUGUAAUAGAGAAAUGAACAGCUGGGACAGGAAAGUAAGGAGAUGUCGUCAGGAUGGCAGGGUAAUAAUAAUAAAACUAGCAAAUUUCCAAAAAAAAACCCGGAAUUUCCUGGAACAAAAUGGCGCAGCUCUGCCAC
ensembl:lncRNA